rnacentral:rRNA from 1 species
AACUGCGAGUGAAGCGGGAAAAGCUCAAAUUUAAAAUCUGGUGGUCUUUGGCCAUCCGAGUUGUAAUUUAGAGAAGCGUCUUCCGCGCCAGACCGUGCACAAGUCUCCUGGAAUGGAGCGUCAUAGAGGGUGAGAAUCCCGUCUUUGGCACGGAACCCCUGGUGCUUCUGUGAUGCGCUCUCGAAGAGUCGAGUUGUUUGGGAAUGCAGCUCAAAAUGGGUGGUGAACUCCAUCUAAAGCUAAAUAUUGGCGAGAGACCGAUAGCGAACAAGUACCGUGAGGGAAAGAUGAAAAGCACUUUGGAAAGAGAGUGAAACAGUACGUGAAAUUGUUGAAAGGGAAACGCUUGGAGUCAGUCGCGUCGGCCAAGACUCAGCCUCGCCUCGGCUUGGUGUACUUCUUGGCAGACGGGCCAGCAUCAAUUUCGUCCCUCAGAUAAUGGCAAGGGAAAGGUGGCACCUUUGCGGGUGUGUUAUAGUCUCUUGUCGCAUGUGAGGGGUGGGAUUGAGGAACUCAGCACGCACCUUUUGGUGUCGGGGCUUUGGCCC